ensembl:lncRNA
UUUAAGGCCACUUUGGGGCCAUUUUGGGGCAGUUUGGGGCCAUUUGGGGGCAGUUUGGGUCACUUUGAGGCCACUUUGGGGCCAUUUGAGGGCAUUUUAGGCCACUUUGGGGCCAUUUUGGGGCAGUUUGGGGCCAUUUGGGAGCAGUUUGGGUCACUUUAAGGCCACUUUGGGGCCAUUUUGGGUCACUUUAAGGCCACUUUGGGGCCAUUUGAGGGCAUUUUGGGCCACUUUGGGGCCAUUUUGGGGCAGUUUGGGUCACUUUGAGGCCACUUUGGGGCCAUUUAAGGGCAUUUUGGGCCACUCUGGGGCCAUUUGGGGGCAGUUUGGGUCACUUUAAGGCCACUUUGGGGCCAUUUGAGGGCAUUUUGGGCCACUUCGGGGCCAUUUUGGAGCAGUUUGGGUCCAUUUUGGAGCAGUUUGGGGCCAUUUGGGAGCAGUUUGGGUCACUUUAAGGCCACUUUGGGGCCAUUUUGGGGCAGUUUGGGUCACUUUAAGGCCACUUUGGGGCCAUUUUGGGGCAGUUUGGGGCCAUUUGGGGGCAGUUUGGGUCACUUUAAGGCCACUUUGGGGCCAUUUGAGGGCAGUUUGGGGCAGUUUGGAACCAUUUUGGGGCAUUUUGGGUCAGUUUUGGGCCACUUUGGGGCCAUUUGAGGGCAUUUUGGGCCACUUUGGGGCCAUUUGAGGGCACUUUAGGUCAGUUUUAGGCCACUUUGGGGCCAUUUUGGGGCAGUUUGGGGCCAUUUGGGGGCAGUUUGGGUCACCUUAAGGCCACUUUGGGGCCAUUUUGGGUCACUUUGGGGCCAUUUUGGAGCAGUUUGGGUCACUUUAAGGCCACUUUGGAGCCAUUUUGGGUCACUUUGGGACCUUUUUGGGGCAUUUUGAGUUAGUUUUGGGCCACUUUGGGGCCAUUUGAGGGCAUUUUGGGCCACUUUGGGGCCAUUUUGGGUCACUUUAAGGCCACUUUGGGGCCAUUUUGGGCCACUUUGGGGCCAUUUUGGGGCAGUUUGGGUCACUUUAAGGCCACUUUGAGGCCAUUUGAGGGCAUUUUGGGGCCGUUCGGGGCUGUCGGGGUCCCCCCGGGGUCCCGCCUCACCUCGUCCCAGCGGAUGAAUUUGCUGCCCUGCACCAACAUGGCGGGGACCCGCGGCGGCUCCAACGGGAGCGGAACCGGGACCGGGCGCGGCGCCGCCAUGACUGCACC